AACCAUACAACCUACUACCUCA
rnacentral:miRNA from 1 species